rnacentral:rRNA from 1 species
UACGUAGGGGGCAAGCGUUGUCCGGAGUUACUGGGCGUAAAGCGCACGCAGGCGGUCGAUUAAGUUUGGAGUGACAGUUGGUGGCUUAACUGCCAAAGUGCUUUGAAAACUGAUCGACUUGAGGGCUUCAGAGGGACACGGAAUUCCGGGUGGAGUGGUGAAGUGCGUAGAGAUCCGGAGGAACACCGAAGGCGAAGGCAGUGUCCUGGGGAGUACCUGACGCUCAGGUGCGAAAGCCAGGGGAGCGAACGGG